CGAGCACGCGCGUGUGGCAUAUCAAUAAGCGGAGGAAAAGAAACUAACAAGGAUUCCCCUAGUAACGGCGAGUGAAGCGGGAAGAGCUCAAAUUUGAAAUCUUCAAGGUUCUACCUUGACGAAUUGUAGUUUAUAGAAGUGUUUUCUGUUAGGAGAGUGGUAAAAGUUCUUUGGAAUAGGACAUCAUAGAGGGUGAGAAUCCCGUAUUUGGUCAUUCCUCCUAGCGUUGUGAUACACUUUCAACGAGUCGGAUUGUUUGGGAAUGCAGUCCAAAAUGGGUGGUAAAUUCCAUCUAAAGCUAAAUAUUGGCGAGAGACCGAUAGCGAACAAGUACCGUGAGGGAAAGAUGAAAAGAACUUUGAAAAGAGAGUUAAACAGUACGUGAAAUUGUCAAAAGGGAAGCGUUUGACACCAGUGUUGUCUUUCCGAAAAUCAAUUACGAAUGUUUUGUUUUUGAGGAGUUAUGACUUCAUCGGCUUGCUCCUUUCUUUACGAAACUUUCUUAAUGCACUUUUCGGUUAACAAGUCAACAUCAAUUUCUUUUGUUGUAAAAGGGUAUGAGGAAGGUGGCUUUCUUUUCGGAGAAAGUGUUUAUAGCCUUGUGCCUCUGCAAUCGGAGAGAUUGAGGUCUGCAGCGUAGAUCCUUCGGGGUUAGAUACAUUUGUGCUAAGUUAUAGCUUUUCAUAGACAACUUGUUGACUAUGUUUAGUCUUGUAGCUUACUCGCUUAUGCUAUUUUACCUACGCUUAGGAUGUUGAGUAGCGACAUACGCAC
rnacentral:rRNA from 1 species